rnacentral:tRNA from 1 species
GGCGGGGUAGCGAAGUGGUCAAACGCAGCGGACUGUAAAUUCGCCCUCUCUGAGUUCGCAGGUUCGAAUCCUGCCCCCGCCA